rnacentral:snoRNA from 1 species
AACCCAUGGUGAGGGCACCUUCUCAAUAAGUCCUUAUACCUCUCCCAUGCAUCAUAUAGAGUCUCUAAAUCCAUUUGCACGAAGGCAGAGAUAUCAUUUCUUAGCUU